UACGUAGGCAGCAAGCGUUGUUCGGAAUUACUGGGCGUAAAGAGUGUGUAGGCGGUGCUCUAAGUCUGUUGUGAAAUCUCCCGGCUUAACUGGGAGGGUGCGGCGGAGACUGGAGUGCUAGAGUGUGGGAGAGGUAAGCGGAAUUCCUGGUGUAGCGGUGAAAUGCGUAGAUAUCGGGAGGAACACCGGUGGCGAAGGCGGCAUCCUGGACCAUUACUGACGCUGAGGCGCGAAAGCUAGGGGAGCAAACGGG
rnacentral:rRNA from 1 species